AUUGAGCGCUGGCGGCAUGCCUUACACAUGCAAGUCGAACGGCAGCGGGGGAGAAGCUUGCUUUUCCUGCCGGCGAGUGGCGAACGGGUGAGUAAUACAUCGGAACGUGCCCUGUAGUGGGGGAUAACUAGUCGAAAGAUUAGCUAAUACCGCAUACGACCUGAGGGUGAAAGUGGGGGACCGCAAGGCCUCAUGCUAUAGGAGCGGCCGAUGUCUGAUUAGCUAGUUGGUGGGGUAAAGGCCUACCAAGGCGACGAUCAGUAGCUGGUCUGAGAGGGCGAUCAGCCACACUGGGACUGAGACACGGCCCAGACUCCUACGGGAGGCAGCAGUGGGGAAUUUUGGACAAUGGGCGAAAGCCUGAUCCAGCAAUGCCGCGUGUGUGUAGAAGGCCUUCGGGUUGUAAAGCACUUUUGUCCGGAAAGAAAUGGCUCUGGUUAAUACCUGGGGUCGAUGACGGUACCGGAAGAAUAAGGACCGGCUAACUACGUGCCAGCCGCCGCGGUAA
rnacentral:rRNA from 1 species